AGUAGAAUGUUCCAACGGCGAUUGGUUGGUUGGGAGUAAAUUGGCAAAUGCAACGGAAAUCGCACACGGAUAUGGUGCAACGGAAAUGGUUGGUGCUGAAACAAG